GGGCCAGUGUGGUGUAAUGGUUUGAAUAUUGGACUAUGACUCUGGAGGUCUGGGUUCGAAUCCCUGCUGGGCCA
rnacentral:tRNA from 1 species